GCUGGGCAUGGUGGGGCAUGCCUAUAGUCCCAGCUACUCAGGAGGCUGAGGCAGGAGAAUUGCUCGAACUCAGGAGGCAGAGGCUGCAGUGAGCCGAGAUUGUGCCACUGCACUCCAGCCUGGGUGAAAGAGUGAGACUCUGCCUCAA
ensembl:misc_RNA Metazoa_SRP Metazoan signal recognition particle RNA